UGAGGUCAAAAGAUGAAUGAGAUGACAGGUCAGAAUGUCAGCUUUCGUUUCCUCGUAUUUACAUCUAGAUGUGUGAAACGACCUAGAACGUGGCACCUUUUGUUUGAACCCACCUAUUUGUUCAAGUGAUCAAAAAUACUGCAAAAUGUGACUGACAGGUGUUUCUUGCUGCCCAGAUGUGGCCUGUUAAACUGAUUGUUUAAACAAUUAAUAGCUCUGAACGUCUAAUCUUGGUUUUAGCCUUCAGUUUCACCUGUGAAGACACCUGCAUUUGUUAAAAAGGAUAAACCAACAUGAAGACCAGAGAGCUGUCUAUGGGAGAAAAGCAAGCCAUUUUGAACCCGAGAAAAGAGGGAAAAAUCUAUCCAAGCCAUCGCACAAGCAUCGGGCAUAGCCGAUACAACAAUCUGAAAUUGGGUGGUCUGCCACCGAAGGUGCCAUGUUUUAAGUUCAACACUUCUAGAGGAAUCUAUCAGGAUGUGAAAGCUGAAAUUCUGAUCCGUCCUCUCAUAUUCUUCUUUUGAUCUCGAACCCAAAUGUAUUCAGUGUAUAGCGAAAACAAGCAGUAGAAUUGGCCUUGCUGUCCCAAUACUUUCAGAGGGGCCUGUAGGUAUUAGAUUUUUAGCCCUCCCGAUUAAUAUCACGACGAGCCAUCGUCGGAUAUUUUCACCACCUUUAUUUUGCAGCAAGCUAGGUUAUUGUAGGCUGGACUCCGGUUCCAAUUUGAACUCGAGCCAAAUUAAAAGUGAGGUUCUUGGAAAACCGGACGUGAAUGCGAGCUUAUAAAUGAAUGAGAUUUGAACCUGCGCUGUAAGGAUUUACGCUGUAAGCUUAUAAAUGAAUGAGAUUUGAACCUGCGCUUACUAAAGGAUUUGCCACUUCACGGCGUCAUAAUUAAUUUGCAUAAAAUCAGGAGAAUCUCUGAUUUGUUGCUCAUCACCCAGUCACUAGAUACACAGCUCUCGGACAGGAAGUGAACCAUGCUUAUUGCCGAUUGCUCACUAGUGUGUAUGUGGAGUGAGCGACUCCUUCCUCAGGUUGUGGUAUGUGGGCAGUUUGGGUAGCAGCCUGAUGUGCUCAAUCGUUGAUCAAUGACGGAUAUGGUUGUCCAUGCCAGAGCAGGCACUCUGCUGUCCAACAGACAUAUACUUAGAUACUCUCGAUCCACACAGAGAGAGAGACAUACUUUUACACAUGCCUAUCUGCUUAAGCUCUGUUGGAUCCUUGGAAAUGUUUUCCUUGGCAUUUGCCCUGUGUGUCCCUUUAGGCUUCUCUCUUGUACGCUCUCUGCAUAUUAGUCAUUGUUAUAUUGGCUCGGGCACUGUCCACACAUAUAUGGAUAUUUUAGAAAAACACGUUAUCAACAGUCACCCAGUCACAGCAUCUCUGUGGACGCUACUUUUCGCCGAUGAUGUCAUGCUAGAGAGAGAAGAGCGUCAAGAUACAGUACGCAGCAAUUGAAGGCGCGGCUAGAAGAAAACGGGAUGCGAGCUCAAAUCAAAAGCCCAACUUUAUGGAGUGCAGACUGCACGAGGACAGAACCAUCAGAGUUGACGUCCUGGACCUGAAUAAGUUCAGUCAGUUCAAGUACCUGGACUCACUACGCUAUUCCCAAUGGCGAUACGCUUCCAGAUGCCCGGGAAUGAGUCACCGGUGCGUGGCUAAAAUGACGCUGAGUUACUGGAGUGCUCUGUGAUCCCAAGAUGCCCAUCCAUCUUAAGGCGAAAGUGUACAAGACUGUCAUCCGUCCAGUCGCUCUGUAUGGCGUAGACUGCUGGCCAGCUACCACGAAGCACAAACAAACAGGCCAUGCCAUGGAAAUGUGAAUGCUUUGCUGGACGCUCGGCCUCACCCGCCUCAACCACAUCAGCAAUGAAUGUAUCCGCAAGAUCUUGGGACUGGCACCGAUCACAGAAAAGGUGUGCGAAGGACGACCGCGAUGGUACGGCCAUGUCUUUCGAAGCAGCGAGCAUAUGGUGGCUACGUCCGCAAGGACAACGGCCUUGUGGUGGGCCAAACAAGCAUUGGCUUGACGGACUGAAGGAAGAAGGAAGCCGAGGCUCGAUCGAGGGAAUCUUCAGGACUGUUUGCCUGCCGCAUGUUGGAGAAUGGCAUGCGCUAAACCUGCGGACCCUGCAUCAACGUGGGACAAAUGCUAGGAAGAAGAUUUACCAAAUUUUCCCAAACUUGGUAUAUGACGACUACAACCAGAGAGGGUGAAGGGUGCCAGAAAGGGUGCCUACCGCUGAGACACGUGAAGCCAGCGCUAUCUGCUCUCUUCCGCAUACAUGAGCUCAGAGAUACCUGUGGUUGGAUAGCAUCAUUGUGAUUGACGAGGGAUCGAGAUCGUGCCAUCCCUCCCACCCGGAGUGCUUGGCCAAUUCUGCUCUCUUGGCUCCCGAAUCUCUUGGCUCGCGAUCUCUCAACUAUAGGACGAGCUGUUUUAUAUUAUACUAUUUAGAAACGCAUUGAUCCCC
ensembl:lncRNA